rnacentral:tRNA from 1 species
GGAGAGGUGGCAGAGCGGUUGAACGCGCUACCUUGGAAAGGUAGUAUGGGGGUAACCCCAUCGGGGGUUCGAAUCCCCCCCUCUCCG